CACGUAGGGGGCGAGCGUUGUCCGGAUUUAUUGGGCGUAAAGAGCUCGUAGGCGGCUCAGUAAGUCAGGCGUGAAAAGCCCCUGGCUCAACCUGGGAACAGCGCUUGAGACUGGCACGCUCGAGUUCGGGAGAGGAUGGUGGAAUUCCCAGUGUAGAGGUGAAAUUCGUAGAUAUUGGGAAGAACACCGAUGGCGAAGGCAGCCAUCUGGACCGACACUGACGCUGAGGCGCGAAAGCGUGGGUAGCAAACAGG
rnacentral:rRNA from 1 species